rnacentral:rRNA from 1 species
CUACGGGCCGCAGCAGUGGGGAAUAUUGCACAAUAGGCGCAAGCCUGAUGCAGCCAUGCCGCGUGUAUGAAGAGGGCCUUCGGGUUGUAAAGUACUUUCAGCGGGGAGGAAGGGAGUAAAGUUAAUACCUUUGCUCAUUGACGUUACCCGCAGAAGAAGCACCGGCUAACUCCGUGCCAGCAGCCGCGGUAAUACGGAGGGUGCAAGCGUUAAUCGGAAUUACUGGGCGUAAAGCGCACGCAGGCGGUUUGUUAAGUCAGAUGUGAAAUCCCCGGGCUCAACCUGGGAACUGCAUCUGAUACUGGCAAGCUUGAGUCUCGUAGAGGGGGGUAGAAUUCCAGGUGUAGCGGUGAAAUGCGUAGAGAUCUGGAGGAAUACCGGUGGCGAAGGCGGCCCCCUGGACGAAGACUGACGCUCAGGUGCGAAAGCGUGGGGAGCAAACAGGAUUAGAUACCCCAGUAGUC